rnacentral:rRNA from 1 species
UACGUAGGGGGCGAGCGUUGUCCGGAGUUACUGGGCGUAAAGGGCGCGCAGGCGGUCUGGCAAGUUUGGAGUGACAGUGCUCGGCUUAACUGAGCAAGGCCUUCGAAAACUGCUAGACUUGAGCACUCAAGAGGGACAUAGAAUUCCGGGUGGAGUGGUGGAAUGCGUAGAGAUCCGAAGGAACACCGGUGGCGAAGGCGGCCUGCUGGGCAGUUGCUGACACUGAGGCGCGACAGCGUGGGGAGCAAACAGG